ACAAAAUACAGACGCUUCCCCUUUCACCUUUACCUUCUUCCUUUUCUCCUUCUCUCAGCCGUUUCACGAACUUGAAAAGGCAGACACAUGGUUUCAAGUUCGUUUAAAACCUUCUCUCAGACACUGCUUUUCCGUGUCUGCCUCUGAUUUCCAGCACCUCCUCGACACCCUGCCUCGCCCUUCCACCGCCGUCUGGAACACCUUCAUCAUCGGCUUCAUCUGCGACCAGAAGCCCCUCGACGCCCUCCUCCUCUACGCCCACGUCUCUUUCGGGUUUUCAGGAUCUCAGGGAGGAUAUUUGUUUUGCCAUGGUAACCCCUGUCGCAGGUACCUUGGCCACUGGGAUUGGGGCUUUGACGGGUGGUCAAGGAACUGGCUAGAUGGCGGUUAUGCAAAUGAAGGGGAGACAAAGGAUUUUUGGAGGGUUCGAAUCAAAGUAGGGAAGGCGGUCUGCUCCGUUUAGAUUUGGUGCGCCUUUGCUGAGAUUAUGGGGUUCCAGUUUGUGCAUUGGUGUCGUUCUUCUACGUUGUUCUUGAUUGUGGGUUAAUCAGUUCUUUGGUGUGAUGAGGCUGCAACUCAUGAUGCUUAUUCCCAAAAGAAGUAUUAGUAACAACAACAGAAAAAGCAAAAGGAGGUUGACUGAAGCUUGGCUUUGAGGCAGGACUCUCGAAAGCUACCACUUGCAGAGUUAUUCAAUUUCAGAAUUAGAAGUGAAAGAUCUCCGAAACUGAAAUUAAGUUGGGGUGUUCAAAGAACCUGAUGAUUCUAUCCUGAGACAAAGAAUGACUUCAGUCACCAGCUCAGGAAACAAUUAGAUUGUGCGGUGGAAAUCAGAAAUGGCGUGAAGAGGACACAUGCUGGUUUCGCUUGGUUUAAUAUUACCUGGUGAGUACUUCUAACUAUUCUCUUUUCACCAUUUUUUGAUUGUUUUCGCUAUAAGAAAAACGGGUUAAAAGUUGAAGCCGUGGGUAUUUGAUCUCUAGUGGGGUUGUACUGUUAAUUUAGGAAUCAAUUCUCUGAUUUCAUUUGUGAUCUGCUAGGAUUCAGAAUCAUCCUCUGAUAUCAUUUGCGAUUUGCCGGGGUUCAUUCAUUAAGACAAAGCAGUCACCUUUUGUUACUUCACUUUUGAUAUUCACCACCAUUACUGUUUCGCUUUGGUUUUUGGCUUUUUCCCUUUUCAAUGCAUCUAUCAGAAUCAUCAUUCUUUUUGUUACCUUACAUUUUUAAUUUCUCACUGUUUCUUUAAAAGCUUAACAUGUUUUUGAGGCCCUCAAUUAUAAGCUAACAAAGAGUAAAUGAAAUGUUUUGGCUUGAAAAUUUGGAGUUGGUACUUGAUAUGUAUGCAGCUUAUUUUGCUUUGUCUUAAUUUUUAUUUUCUUCACUUUCAUUGGUUGGAACUGAUGAAGUGGUUGUUUUAUGUUUUGAUAUUGUUAAUUAAGAUUGUCAUGGUUUUUUCAGAAUGAGUUUAUUUACCUUUUCAGAAUAUUGAUGGUGAAUUUGGAGGGAUUGGUUAAAUCCAAUCAAAUAAUUUUUUGGCAUAUUGAAAAAAUUCAAUUGAAACAUUCACUGGAGACACACGGUUACCCUCAAUGUUGUAAAUAUGGGUGGAACUUAAAUAAUGUACAUUCCUUCUCACGGUCUCUUUCUUUAAUAAGAUCUUAAGCUUCACAUAGCUUUUUUGGCUUGCAUUCCGUCUCAUAAUCUCUUUCUUUGUUGUCAUUGUUUUUUGGAGGGCGUUUGACAACAGGUUUCUCCUUGGAUUUCAUCUAUUAGGUCUGUUAUAGGAUGGGAAUAUUGAUGGGAGAACACUGUUUGGUUUGAUUCAAUGGAGAUCAUGGAAGUGGUUGUCUGCAGAAAACAAGGAAUUUACUUCAUCAAUGUUUGAAUGGUUAACUAAUCUAAUGGCAUGCCUCGGUGGAUAUUGAUCAGUGCUUUUGGUUCAGGAUGGCUUUUGAUUUCAAGUUGCAAUUGGGUUGGCGGUUGCUGCAAUUUUGGAUUUGCUUCUUGGAUCCUGUAUUGUUUCGCUAGAGGAUGCUGACGUAGAGGACAAGAUGCUGGUGGAUUUUGAGAUAGUAAUUACUAUUGUAAUAGCUACUGUCUUAGCUUUAGGCAGCAUAGUUGGUUUUUUCUUUUUGUCUAAUUUAAUGGCCCAUUGAAUGUUUUGUGCAGAAGCCUCUCAAUAAAAGUGAAGCAGUUGUUCCUUCUAAUUUGCUGGAUAAUAGUUUGGCUUUUGAUCCAGCCCUCAAUAAGAUUGCCUGACAUGAGGGUGCAUCAGACAUGUAGCUUAAUCCCUUUUUGUAAUUUGGUAUUUGAUUUCUAAUGGGCAGAAGUGUUUGAAUUC